UAAGAUCACAGACAACCUCCACAAUUAUUACAAAUGACUGUAGGUCACCAGGUAAUAAUAAUCCCAUGUGAAUAGGGCUUUAGAGUAAGGAAAGCACA